rnacentral:rRNA from 1 species
CCUACGGGGGGCUGCAGUGAGGAAUAUUGGUCAAUGGGCGCGAGCCUGAACCAGCCAAGUCGCGUGAGGGAUGACGGCCCUACGGGUUGUAAACCUCUUUUGCCGGGGAGCAACUGGCGCCACGUGUGGCGUCACCGAGAGUACCCGGAGAAAAAGCAUCGGCUAACUCCGUGCCAGCAGCCGCGGUAAUACGGAGGAUGCGAGCGUUAUCCGGAUUUAUUGGGUUUAAAGGGUGCGUAGGCGGACCGUCAAGUCAGCGGUAAAAUUGCGGGGCUCAACCCCCUCCCGCCGUUGAAACUGGCGUUCUUGAGUGGGCGAGAAGUAUGCGGAAUGCGUGGUGUAGCGGUGAAAUGCAUAGAUAUCACGCAGAACUCCGAUUGCGAAGGCAGCAUGCCGGCUUCCGACUGACGCUGAAGCACGAAAGCGUGGGGAUCGAACAGGAUUAGAUACCCCGGUAGUC